AGAGGGUUUCGGGUGGGUUGUUUGAAAAAGGAAGUGAAGGAAUUCAAAAUUUCACGUCAUGAGCCUAAAGUAAGGCGUGUCCGGGCCGUCCCGAAGGUAUCUGGGGAAAUAGGUUUGUGAGGACAAAGACCAGGGCCAGGCCCAGGGCGGAGCCUCCGCGGCCCCGGCGCAGGGACUCGGUCUAGGCGGAGGACGGGGCGGAGCGCGGCCGGCACCAUCGAGCCGGGAAGAUGGCACCGCCCACGGAGCUGCUGGCCAGGCCGGAGCGAAGCAGCGCGCCCGGCUCCCGCGCCAUGGGGCGGCUGGUGGCUGUGGGCUUGCUGGGGAUCGCGCUGGCGCUCCUGGGCGAGAGGCUUCUGGCACUCAGAAAUCGACUUAAAGCCUCCAGAGAAGUAGAAUCUGUAGACCUUCCACACUGCCACCUGAUUAAAGGAAUUGAAGCUGGCUCUGAAGAUAUUGACAUACUUCCCAAUGGUCUGGCUUUUUUUAGUGUGGGUCUAAAAUUCCCAGGACUCCACAGCUUUGCACCAGAUAAGCCUGGAGGAAUACUAAUGAUGGAUCUAAAAGAAGAAAAACCAAGGGCACGGGAAUUAAGAAUCAGCCGUGGGUUUGAUUUGGCCUCAUUCAAUCCACAUGGCAUCAGCACUUUCAUAGACAACGAUGACACAGUUUAUCUCUUUGUUGUAAACCACCCAGAAUUCAAGAAUACAGUGGAAAUUUUUAAAUUUGAAGAAGCAGAAAAUUCUCUGUUGCAUCUGAAAACAGUCAAACAUGAGCUUCUUCCAAGUGUGAAUGAUAUCACAGCUGUUGGACCGGCACAUUUCUAUGCCACAAAUGACCACUACUUCUCUGAUCCUUUCUUAAAGUAUUUAGAAACAUACUUGAACUUACACUGGGCAAAUGUUGUUUACUACAGUCCAAAUGAAGUUAAAGUGGUAGCAGAAGGAUUUGAUUCAGCAAAUGGGAUCAAUAUUUCACCUGAUGAUAAGUAUAUCUAUGUUGCUGACAUAUUGGCUCAUGAAAUUCAUGUUUUGGAAAAACACACUAAUAUGAAUUUAACUCAGUUGAAGAUAUUGACAAUUUCUCAUUUGGAAGGUACUUGAGCUGGAUACACUGGUGGAUAAUUUAUCUAUUGAUCCUUCCUCGGGGGACAUCUGGGUAGGCUGUCAUCCUAAUGGCCAGAAGCUCUUCGUGUAUGACCCGAACAAUCCUCCCUCGUCAGAGGUUCUCCGCAUCCAGAACAUUCUAUCUGAGAAGCCUACAGUGACUACAGUUUAUGCCAACAAUGGGUCUGUUCUCCAAGGAAGUUCUGUAGCCUCAGUGUAUGAUGGGAAGCUGCUCAUAGGCACUUUAUACCACAGAGCCUUGUAUUGUGAACUCUAAAUUGUACUUUUGGCAUGAAAGUGCGAUAACUUAACAAUUAAUUUUCUAUGAAUUGCUAAUUCUGAGGGAAUUUAACCAGUAACAUUGACCCAGAAAUGUAUGGCAUGUGUAGUUAAUUUUAUUCCAGUAAGGAACGGCCCUUUUAGUUCUUAGAGCACUUUUAACAAAAAAGGAAAAUGAACAGGUUCCUUAAAAUGCCAAGCAAGGGACAGAAAAGAAAGCUGCUUUCGAAUAAAGUGAAUACAUUUUGCACAAAGUAAGCCUCACCUUUGCCUUCCAACUGCCAGAACAUGGAUUCCACUGAAAUAGAGUGAAUUAUAUUUCCUUAAAAUGUGAGUGACCUCAGUUCUGGCACUGUGACCACUAUGGCUGUUUAGAACUACUGAUAAUAACGUAUUUUGAUGUUUUGUACUUACAUCUUUGUUUACCAUUAAAAAGUUGGAGUUAUAUUAAAGACUAACUAAAAUCCCA